ACCCGCUUGAACCAGGAAAUGCAUCCGCGGGUUCUACAUGGAGUGACAUGUCUGAAGGAGACGUGAUACGAUGGAGAAUCUCACCAUACUUUUACCUCUACGUAUAACUUGCGAGCUUCUAAGGUCACUCAAGUUGAAUUGUCACAUACUAUGUGACAUAGUCAUAAAUUGAAUGGCUACUUAUAGCUAGGAGCCACAUGAUGCAUGAACCAUGAACUGUGCCUGCUGUCUACUACGGUUCCAGAGUGUGUGGUUCCUGGCCCCCUCUGUCAGAGCAGCUGUCCAACAUGCCACCCUGUGUCAGACAGCCACAGCAUUUUCCCUAAUUACACUACACAACACCUGUGGCCAGGCACUGAGGCGUUUCCAUGACAGCCCUGGAUGUUAUAAGAGCCUGCUCGUACCCACAGACCUAAGAGGACGAGGAUAGAAUAAAUGACAGGUCACUGAUAACUCAUGAUGACCUGUUUGAGAGGGUGGCCAGGAAGGCCAAGACCAAAGCCACCUUCAACGAAGUGGUGGACGUCUUCAGUAAGAGGGGAAUAUGGCGUCGAGGUCACGUAGAGUUCAUUUACGCAGCCUUGAAGAAGGUGCCAGAGUUCGGUGUGGAACGGAACCUUAUAGUUUACAACAAGCUGUUGGAUGUUUUCCCCAAGGAGGUGUUUGUGCCCAGGAACUUUAUCCAGUGCAUGUUCAACCACUACCCCCGACAGCAGGAGUGCGGGGUGCACCUGCUGGAACAGAUGGAGAACUAUGGUGUUUGGGGGGUGGGGGGCAGUGGUGUGUUUGUGUUGUGCGUUUACUGUUUCCCCCACGAUUUGUUUCAGCAGCGGUGGCAAAGUUGACGUAAGGGCGUGGCCAAUUGCGUGGUCUCCGACCAGAUAUUUUAAUGACCCUCCUCUUGGCCACAGGCACAGUUUUGCUAUUUUAAAGCUAAUUUCCUGCAAUACUACACAUUUUGCCAUGGCUUAUGCUAUUGGAGUGACUCAAAUGUAACAAAAUCAAUGGGGGCCCCAUGCCAUGACACUUUUGGGAUUUUAGAUUCUCUCUGACUCUAGUUUUUAGUGGUGCUUGUUAGUUGUCAAAGAUGAUCUUAUUUAAAAAAUAUAUAGGUCCGUUAUCUUUUCUACAUACUUUACAUCCGGUUCUGUCAUUUAUAUUUAUACUGACAACAUUUUACCAAA